UGCCUUUAUGUGUUGCCCGUUCAUUCUUUUCUACAAUGAAUGUGGUGUCAGCCAAGGCAAACAUCAAAUCUUGGAUCGGCCUUAGCAAGGUUCCUCACUGUGACCUUGUCCUAAGCUCUAUACCAAGUACAGGA